rnacentral:rRNA from 1 species
AUUGAACGCUGGCGGCAGGCCUAACACAUGCAAGUCGAGCGGAGCGGCAGACGGGUGAGUAAUGCCUAGGAAUCUGCCUGGUAGUGGGGGAUAACGUCAGGAAACGGGAGCUAAUACCACAUCCUAUCAGCUGAGCCUCGGUCGGAUUAGCUAGUUGGUGGGGUAAAGGCCUACCAAGGCGACGAUCCGUAACUGGUCUGAGAGGAUGAUCAGCCACACUGGAACUGAGACACGGUCCAGACUCCUACGGGAGUCAGCAGUGGGGAAUAUUGGACAAUGGGCGAAAGCCUGAUCCAGCCAUGCCGCGUGUGUGAUGAAGGCCUUCGGAUUGUAAAGCACUUUAAGUUGGGAGGCGUUACCAACAGAAUAAGCACCGGCUAACUUCGUGCCAGCAGCCGCGGUAAUUC